rnacentral:rRNA from 1 species
GUAGGGAAUAUUGGGCAAUGGAAGCAAUUCUGACCCAGCCAUGCCGCGUGAAGGAAUACAGCCCUAUGGGUUUUAAACUUCUUUUAUUAUAGAGUAAACGGAGGUACGUGUACCUCCCUGCAAGUAUAUGAUGAAUAAGGAUCGGCUAACUCCGUACCAGCAGCCGCGGUAAUACGGAGGAUCCAAGCGUUAUCCGGAUUUAUUGGGUUUAAAGGGUGCGCAGGCGGAUCAAUAAGUCAGGGGUGAAAAAUUUCAGCUUAACUGGAAUCGUGCCUUUGAUACUGUUGGACUAGAGUAUAAUUGACGUGACUGGAAUGUGAUGUGUAGCGGUGAAAUGCUUAGAUAUGUCACAGAACGCCAAUCGUGAAGACAGGUCACGAAAUUAUUACUGACGCUCAUGCACGAAAGCGUGGGGAUCAAACAGGAUUAGAAACCCUAGUAGUCC